rnacentral:lncRNA from 1 species
UUUUUUUUUUUUUUUAAAGAACCGUGAUAAUGUAACACCUCUGGCUGUGAGGAGAAAAUAUGGGAGUAUAUUUAUUUGAAUGGAAGAAACAAAUACGUCUCUUUGGAGAAGAGAACAUUCCAUAGUACAUAGGGGAUCGUGUCCUUGCAAAGCUGUUGGGUUUGGGACACCAGAGCAGGAGAAUUUUGCUCCAGCCUGCAUCAGCCUGCCCUCAGCCUGCAAAACCACCUUUCCCUUUGCUCCACAGCCGGCCAAGGGCUGCGCUGUCUUGUGGAACGUUUUCAAAGUUUACAGAGCUAGCUGCAAAAUACAAUGUAGGAAAGUGGAUUUUUUUUUUAAUGGUUCAGAUUUUCUUUUUUAAAAUCUCAGUUUGGCUUCAAAUGGGGCAAAGAAGAAAUGUUAUUAAAUAUUAAGAAUGAAGAUAAACGAAACAGUAGAGAUUAAGACAGACUUGAGGUUUUCAUAAUAGCAGUGCCUUCCAUUGUGAGAAAUUUUGCCUUAUACCUUUUUAAUAUUCACGAAGAUGUUUAGGAAAAAAGGUACCAAAAAUUUGCCUUAAAAAAAAAAAAGCUUGGAUCUUAGCGAUAGCUGUGCUAUCUGGCACCUUGAUGAAGCUGCUCUCUUUUUGAAGCUCAGGUUUGCUCCCUAUCACCCUGGCGGCUGAACUCUGGCUUCGUAGCCCACUAACACUCCAGAAGCGAGUUCAUUCUCUGGUUUAAAAUCAACAAAUUGUCUCCUCUUCUGAUCCGGCAGCCUUCUCCGUCACAAGGCAACAUGCUAGGUGCCGAGCCACGUGGGAAGGACAAAGACUGAGCUGUGAAAAGAAGAAACAAGUCCUUAGCCUUUUAAAAUCAUGAGUUUUGCCCUCCCUGAAAUUUUUUUGGAAGUGGCUUUGAAUUGCAUUUUAAAAGAAAAGCCCUCCGUGGGUUUUCCCUUGAAACCGUCCCUCCAUGCACAGACAAGGCAGGUCCUGCCAAAUGGUGUUAUCACCCCAGUGUCAUCUAUUGCGAAAGCCUGACACUGCCACAGUUUUCAUCGUCAUUCUAAGUUUUGUGCCAAAUUGGACUUUCUUAGAAGCCCAGGCACUACUCAGCACAGUUCUGUCCCAUUCACCAUGGGCUUCUCGGCAAAAUGGGGGGAAAAAAGAAAGAAGAAAGAAAAAAAAAAAAAGCAGAGCUUUAGGUAAACAGUCGGAGGGGAGAAAAAAUGGCUUCCUUCCCCUGCCUUCGCGCUCCUGUUUAUACUACCUCCUUUUUAAAGUUAUUCUAGUGUUAUUGUUCUUUCCUGUACUCAGGGACUUUUUUGUUACUCUUGAGCUCAUGUUGCAUGGGCGGGUGCAUUGACAGGGUAUGGUGGUGUUUGGUUCGUAAGUAGAAGUACGUGGGCCAACUUCUCUCAGUAUCUAAAAUGAAGGGCACAAUGGGAUCACAAGUCAGAAGCAAACAGAUCGAAAAGGGGAAAGCAGGUUUAAGGCCAUGCAUAUUUAAACCGUGUUCCCUGCCUGGAUCAUCCGAAAGGCUGGGACAGGACAUUUCUGGAAGAACGUGCUCUGUUUAAUGAUAAAUAGGCCCUUAGUUAUGAUAGGUCUUUAGCUUAUAAUUAUUUACUAGUUCAUUUUUUGUUCUUAUACAGACUUUUCUGUCAAUUCUGUUACCAAAGAAUUUUCAGUAGACAGUAAAAUUUCUAUGAUAAGUACCUUAAAUCCAAUUCACUAGAAACAGAUAUAGACUCGAAUAUAAACAAUUUCUAACCCUAAUCUGAAGGGUUUAUAUUGAUAGUUAAAAUUAAUUAGGCUAGUGACAUAAACUACCUUACCGUCACCAGAGUUUAAAAUAAAUUUUAAUUUCCUUGCCAGCAUAUGGUUACAAACUCUUUAAACUGUAAGGUUUUUUUUUUCUCCAGCAAGUAACGAAACCUUCAACUCUAUAGUAUUAAUGUAUUUUCUAAUUGUUGAAAUUACUUGUUGGAGAGAAAAAAAUAAAUAUUACUACUAAUGUCAUGGACUAAAGUAUUUAAUGUUCAACAGAGGUUUUAGGCUUGGUGAAAGCCAGCCUCUCUGAAGUCUGAAGUACGAAAUUCCAACUAAAGUGUGAAGGUUAUCAUGUCUUCCUCGAGGUUUCAUUAUUCAUCGUAUUCAACUCCAAAUAAGCUGACAUGCAAAUUAGAAACUGUUUCAUUUUCCAAAAACGUAUUUGCUGGAAGCGGUGAUAACCUGGCUGCCUGUCAUUUUUUAAUGUCAAAUAUUACAAUAUACUGCUCAUCGGUAUUUUCAUACCAAAGACCAUUAAAAUAUAUAGUUUAGCCUGUAAGUAAAGAUGAGCAGGUUUAAAGUAAAUUUAUUUAGAAACAGAUAGGGAAUAUAGCUUUAGUGGCAAAAAGAAAAUAUCAAAAGGCUAAGUUUACAUAGUUAAAAGCAAUACAGUUAUAUUGGUAUUUAUCAGUGUUUUUUAUUCGAGUACUUUAUAUCAGCAAAUUAAAAAGAAAUUAAAAACCAAAGAUAUUUAAGGUUACCUCAGAAUAUAGGAAAGUUUAGCUGUACAUUGAACUGUUGUUUGUUGUUUUGUGUUAACAAACUGUCUCUCCAGAACCUCUCCUCUGUGCAGACAGCGUCCUGAGGAUUUAUUUCCAUGGUGUCUGCUCACUCAGUCUCAGGUGUGUUUUUACUACAUGGUGUGCUGCUUCCAUACAGCCUGUGAGGGUGAUAGGUCGGCAGAGAGAGCAUCAGGCUUGUCUGUAUUGUGGGAACCCCUACAUCAUUCUAAGUCGUCUGCAUUCCUAUGUAAAGUCCUUCUCUAGAUACUCAGACAGCUUGAGGAAACCAAAAGGUGCCACUGUUCGGACGGGCAGUGCUUUGGGUUCAAAUACGGUUCCUAAAUCAUAAGAUUUUCAUUGCGUCGAAAAGCUGGCUUUCGAUCUCAAGUGAAACCCUGUUAAAGUGCCAGGGGGUGAGAUGCUCCUGAUGUGUUUGUUAGAAGCUCUCUUGCCUUUACCUCAGACACGAGCAAUGGCAGCAAUGCAGCAGAGACUGGGGUACGCACUGCUGUCUCUCUUCUGCAGGACUUCUGCAAACAGCAUAAAAAAGGCUCAUAGCUGACCAGUCAGGAGCACCGCUUAAGUCCCCGCCAUUGGAAACAGUGCUUCCUGUCAUCGAAGGCUGGGGUGGUUCACUCCUGUCAUCAAUUGCAGCAGUCGGAGGAAGGGGGCAGCAUGCAUUUUAGGAAGUCAGAGCCUGCUGUAAUUCAUGGUUCGAUUCUGUACAUUUGCAUAUCAUCAGAUGUCCAUUUUGAAUACCAGAUGUGGAAAAAGAGUUUGAACUGUAUUGUAAAGAGCUGGUACCUGAAGCAACCAUGUAUUUUGCAAGAUUUUCUUCCUGAAAAUUUACUACAUGCAUCACUGAUAAAAUUGCUUUGGUAG